GGGUUGUGAGGUUAAGCGACUAAGCGUACACGGUGGAUGCCCUGGCAGUCAGAGGCGAUGAAGGACGUGCUAAUCUGCGAAAAGCGUCGGUAAGGUGAUAUGAACCGUUAUAACCGGCGAUGUCCGAAUGGGGAAACCCAGUGUGAUUCGUCACACUAUCGUUAACUGAAUACAUAGGUUAACGAGGCGAACCGGGGGAACUGAAACAUCUAAGUACCCCGAGGAAAAGAAAUCAACCGAGAUUCCCCCAGUAGCGGCGAGCGAACGGGGAGCAGCCCAGAGUCUGAAUCAGCUUGUGUGUUAGUGGAACGGUCUGGAAAGUCCGACGGUACAGGGUGAUAGUCCCGUACACCAAAAUGCACAGGUUGUGAACUCGAAGAGUAGGGCGGGACACGUGGUAUCCUGUCUGAAUAUGGGGGGACCAUCCUCCAAGGCUAAAUACUCCUGACUGACCGAUAGUGAACCAGUACCGUGAGGGAAAGGCGAAAAGAACCCCGGCGAGGGGAGUGAAAAAGAACCUGAAACCGUGUACGUACAAGCAGUGGGAGCACCUUCGGGUGUGACUGCGUACCUUUUGUAUAAUGGGUCAGCGACUUAUAUUCUGUAGCAAGGUUAACCGUAUAGGGGAGCCGCAGGGAAACCGAGUCUUAACUGGGCGUUAAGUUGCAGGGUAUAGACCCGAAACCCGGUGAUCUAGCCAUGGGCAGGUUGAAGGUUGGGUAACACUAACUGGAGGACCGAACCGACUAAUGUUGAAAAAUUAGCGGAUGACUUGUGGCUGGGGGUGAAAGGCCAAUCAAACCGGGAGAUAGCUGGUUCUCCCCGAAAGCUAUUUAGGUAGCGCCUCGUGAAUUCAUCUUCGGGGGUAGAGCACUGUUUCGGCUAGGGGGUCAUCCCGACUUACCAACCCGAUGCAAACUACGAAUACCGAAGAAUGUUAUCACGGGAGACACACGGCGGGUGCUAACGUCCGUCGUGAAGAGGGAAACAACCCAGACCGCCAGCUAAGGUCCCAAAGUCAUGGUUAAGUGGGAAACGAUGUGGGAAGGCACAGACAGCCAGGAUGUUGGCUUAGAAGCAGCCAUCAUUUAAAGAAAGCGUAAUAGCUCACUGGUCGAGUCGGCCUGCGCGGAAGAUGUAACGGGGCUAAACCAUGCACCGAAGCUGCGGCAGCGACACUAUGUGUUGUUGGGUAGGGGAGCGUUCUGUAAGCCUGCGAAGGUGACCUGUGAGGGUUGCUGGAGGUAUCAGAAGUGCGAAUGCUGACAUAAGUAACGAUAAAGCGGGUGAAAAGCCCGCUCGCCGGAAGACCAAGGGUUCCUGUCCAACGUUAAUCGGGGCAGGGUGAGUCGACCCCUAAGGCGAGGCCGAAAGGCGUAGUCGAUGGGAAACAGGUUAAUAUUCCUGUACUUGGUGUUACUGCGAAGGGGGGACGGAGAAGGCUAUGUUAGCCGGGCGACGGUUGUCCCGGUUUAAGCAUGUAGGCUGGUUGUCCAGGCAAAUCCGGAUAAUCAAGGCUGAGGUGUGAUGACGAGGCACUACGGUGCUGAAGUAACAAAUGCCCUGCUUCCAGGAAAAGCCUCUAAGCAUCAGGUAACAUCAAAUCGUACCCCAAACCGACACAGGUGGUCAGGUAGAGAAUACCAAGGCGCUUGAGAGAACUCGGGUGAAGGAACUAGGCAAAAUGGUGCCGUAACUUCGGGAGAAGGCACGCUGGUGUGUAGGUGAAGCCCCUGCGGGUGGAGCUGAGACCAGUCGAAGAUACCAGCUGGCUGCAACUGUUUAUUAAAAACACAGCACUGUGCAAACACGAAAGUGGACGUAUACGGUGUGACGCCUGCCCGGUGCCGGAAGGUUAAUUGAUGGGGUUAUCCGUAAGGAGAAGCUCUUGAUCGAAGCCCCGGUAAACGGCGGCCGUAACUAUAACGGUCCUAAGGUAGCGAAAUUCCUUGUCGGGUAAGUUCCGACCUGCACGAAUGGCGUAAUGAUGGCCAGGCUGUCUCCACCCGAGACUCAGUGAAAUUGAACUCGCUGUGAAGAUGCAGUGUACCCGCGGCAAGACGGAAAGACCCCGUGAACCUUUACUAUAGCUUGACACUGAACAUUGAGCCUUGAUGUGUAGGAUAGGUGGGAGGCUUUGAAGCGUGGACGCCAGUCUGCGUGGAGCCAACCUUGAAAUACCACCCUUUAAUGUUUGAUGUUCUAACGUUGGCCCCUGACCGGGGUUGCGGACAGUGUCUGGUGGGUAGUUUGACUGGGGCGGUCUCCUCCCAAAGCGUAACGGAGGAGCACGAAGGUUAGCUAAUCCUGGUCGGACAUCAGGAGGUUAGUGCAAUGGCAUAAGCUAGCUUGACUGCGAGCGUGACGGCGCGAGCAGGUGCGAAAGCAGGUCAUAGUGAUCCGGUGGUUCUGAAUGGAAGGGCCAUCGCUCAACGGAUAAAAGGUACUCCGGGGAUAACAGGCUGAUACCGCCCAAGAGUUCAUAUCGACGGCGGUGUUUGGCACCUCGAUGUCGGCUCAUCACAUCCUGGGGCUGAAGUAGGUCCCAAGGGUAUGGCUGUUCGCCAUUUAAAGUGGUACGCGAGCUGGGUUUAGAACGUCGUGAGACAGUUCGGUCCCUAUCUGCCGUGGGCGCUGGAGAAUUGAGGGGGGCUGCUCCUAGUACGAGAGGACCGGAGUGGACGCAUCACUGGUGUUCGGGUUGUCAUGCCAAUGGCACUGCCCGGUAGCUAAAUGCGGAAGAGAUAAGUGCUGAAAGCAUCUAAGCACGAAACUUGCCCCGAGAUGAGUUCUCCCUGAGACU
rnacentral:rRNA from 1 species